rnacentral:rRNA from 1 species
AGGCAGCAGUGGGGAAUAUUGCACAAUGGGCGCAAGCCUGAUGCAGCCAUGCCGCGUGUAUGAAGAAGGCCUUCGGGUUGUAAAGUACUUUCAGCGGGGAGGAAGGCGUAGGUUAAUAACCUCAUCGAUUGACGUUACCCGCAGAAGAAGCACCGGCUAACUCCGUGCCAGCAGCCGCGGUAAUACGGAGGGUGCAAGCGUUAAUCGGAAUUACUGGGCGUAAAGCGCACGCAGGCGGUCUGUCAAGUCGGAUGUGAAAUCCCCGGGCUCAACCUGGGAACUGCAUUCGAAACUGGCAGG